UCGCUAUGAUGUUGCGAUAACAUAGAUUCGUACAUCGAAUAUUUCAAGUACAACGAUUCCCUGUUACCCAAAUUUCUCGUACAAUUCCUACUGUAUUUCUUGUCUCAUCUUUUCGAGACAUUAGUAAGAUCCAGGUGCGGACAUGGCGCGUGUAUUUCAUGGCGUUUUUACACCUUAACAAUCAAAAGUACCCUUUUACAGAUCUGCAUCUCCAUCAAUCAACUUUAAUUCUAAGAUAAUUGGCUAUGAAACUAUGUAAUUUGACAAUUAUAAAGUGGACCGCGAGAUCAUAUCAAGAAUCACCAUUUUAAACUUUUAGAUGGCAUUGGCGAGAGAAUCAUGCUAUCUCUUCAAUGAAGACCCGCUUGCCCUCCACUUGAUCUCUUCAGAGUAUUAACCUACAUCUUCAUCUAUUAACUUUAAUUCUAAGAUAAUCGACUACGAAACUAUCGUAGUUUGACAAUUAUGAAGUGAACAUUGAAACUGCGUCUACAAUCACCAUUUUAAGCUUCUAGAUGGAUUGGCGAGAAGCUCGGGCAAUCUCUUCGAUCGAAACCUACUUGCCCUCACUUGAUAUCUUCGAAAUAUCGACCUGCAUCUCCAUCCAUCAGCUUUAAUUCUAAGAUAAUCGACUACAAAACUGUCGUAGUUUGACAAUUAUGAAAUGGACGUCGAAACCGCGUCUAGAAUCGCCAUUUUAAGCUUGUAGAUGGAUUGGCGAGAAGCUCGCGCAAGCUCUUCAAACGAAACUCGCUUGCCUUCAGCGCGUGAAAGCCGCGAAACGGGAGAGAGAAGCGAACAAAGACAGCGAGAGAGAGAGAGAGAGAGCACUGUAUCGUAAGUCAUCUCUCGAUCCCACAAGCGGCAGCGCUCGACGCGAAGAGAGCGACCGGAACAUGCAUGGAGAGAUCUCGUAUUUUCUCUUCAGGAUCCCUCCUGGAGAGACGGCUCCCCGCCAAGCGGAAAUCCGGAGCAUGUGACCGGCCGGCCCUCGUCGGCCCUCAAUAAUUGUGGGGGCCGGGAAAGAGAAAGAGAGUCGAUGGAAAUCGAUGGAUCCUAUCAUUUCCUGGACGAGGUAGAAGACAAGAGAGCGCACAUCAGAGCACACAUGUCUCGAGCUGUAAAGCCAUGGCUUUUACUGCCCCCACAUCGCUG
rnacentral:lncRNA from 1 species